rnacentral:rRNA from 1 species
CAGUCGCCACGGUAAUACGAAGGGUGCAAGCGUUAAUCGGAAUUACUGGACGUAAAGCGUGCGUAGGCGGUGAGUUAAGUCUGCUGUGAAAUCCCCGGGCUCAACCUGGGAAUGGCAGUGGAUACUGGCUCGCUAGAGUGUGUCAGAGGAUGGUGGAAUUCCCGGUGUAGCGGUGAAAUGCGUAGAGAUCGGGAGGAACAUCAGUGGCGAAGGCGGCCAUCUGGGACAACACUGACGCUGAGGCACGAAAGCGUGGGGAGCAAACAGGAUUAGAUACCCCGGUAGUCCCUGUCUCUUAUAC